GAUGAACGCUGGCGGCGUGCCUAAUACAUGCAAGUCGAGCGAACAGACGAGGAGCUUGCUCCUCUGACGUUAGCGGCGGACGGGUGAGUAACACGUGGAUAACCUACCUAUAAGACUGGGAUAACUUCGGGAAACCGGAGCUAAUACCGGAUAAUAUAUUGAACCGCAUGGUUCACUAGUGAAAGACGGUUUUGCUGUCACUUAUAGAUGGAUCCGCGCCGCAUUAGCUAGUUGGUAAGGUAACGGCUUACCAAGGCAACGAUGCGUAGCCGACCUGCGAGGGUGAGCGGCCACACUGGAACGGAGACACGGUCCAGACUCCUACGGGAGGCAGCAGUAGGGAAUCUUCCGCAAUGGGCGAAAGCCUGACGGAGCAACGCCGCGUGAGUGAUGAAGGGCUUCGGAUCGUAAAACUCUGUUAUUAGGGAAGAACAAAUGUGUAAGGAACUAUGCGCGUCUUGACGGUACCUAAUCAGAAAGCCACGGCUAACUACGUG
rnacentral:rRNA from 1 species